rnacentral:rRNA from 2 species
GCAUAUCAAUAAGCGGAGGAAAAGAAACCAACAGGGAUUGCCCUAGUAACGGCGAGUGAAGCGGCAAGAGCUCAAAUUUGAAAUCUGGCCCCUCCGGGGUCCGAGUUGUAAUUUGCAGAGGAUGCUUCGGGUGCGGUCCCCGUCUAAGUACCCUGGAACGGGUCGUCAUAGAGGGUGAGAAUCCCGUCUGGGACGGGUGGCCGCGUCCGUGUGAAGCUCCUUCGACGAGUCGAGUUGUUUGGGAAUGCAGCUCUAAAUGGGUGGUAAAUUUCAUCUAAAGCUAAAUAUUGGCCGGAGACCGAUAGCGCACAAGUAGAGUGAUCGAAAGAUGAAAAGCACUUUGAAAAGAGAGUUAAACAGCACGUGAAAUUGUUGAAAGGGAAGCGCUUGCGACCAGACUCGCCCGCGGGGGUUCAGCCGGUACUCGUACCGGUGUACUCCCCCGCGGGCGGGCCAGCGUCGGUUUGGGCGGCCGGUCAAAGGCCCCCGGAAUGUAUCGCCCUUCGGGGCGUCUUAUAGCCGGGGGUGCAAUGCGGCCAGCCUGGACCGAGGAACGCGCUUCGGCUCGGACGCUGGCGUAAUGGUCGUAAGCGGCCCGUCUUGAAACACGGACCAAGGAGUCUAACAUCUACGCGAGUGUUCGGGUGUCAAACCCGUCCGCGCAGUGAAAGCGAACGGAGGUGGGAACCCCUCGGGGUGCACCAUCGACCGAUCCUGAUGUCUUCGGAUGGAUUUGAGUAAGAGCGUAGCUGUUGGGACCCGAAAGAUGGUGAACUAUGCCUGAAUAGGGCGAAGCCAGAGGAAACUCUGGUGGAGGCUCGCAGCGGUUCUGACGUGCAAAUCGAUCGUCAAAUUUGGGUAUAGGGGGCGAAAGACUAAUCGAACCAUCUGGUAGCUGGUUCCUGCG